CUGAAACAUCUCUGAUGAUAUGAACUGAAAAUGAAGGUUUCAUUUCCUUGUUCUUUUUAUUCGGACUGAGAGACUGUCAGCUGUCAGAGAGAAGUUGUUCCCUUCUGUCCUCAGUCCUCAGCUCUCCGUCCUCUUGUCUGACACAACUGGACCUGAGCUACAACUACAUGUAUGAUUCAGCACUGAACCUGCUGUGUGCUGGACUGAAGAGUCCACACUGUCACCUGGAGACUCUCAGGUCACCUGGAGACACAGAACACAUCAGCUCCUCUCUUCAGUUCUGCUCCACAACUGGACGGUUCUUCUGCUCUCAUGAUUCUCUAAAACACUGUUCCUCCUUCAUUACAGUCUGUCAGGGUGUAUGAUCUCAGAGAGAGGCUGUGCUUCUCUGGCCUCAGCUCUGACCUCUAACCCCUCCCAUCUGAGAGAGCUGGACCUGAGCUUCAACCAUCCAGGAGGACCAGGACUGGAGCUGCUGUCUGCUGGACUGGAGAGUCCAGACUGGAGGCUGGAGACUCUCAGACUUCCGUCCACUCUCACUGGACCCAGACACUGCUCACCGGCGCCUCCUGCUGUCCAACAACAACAGCAUGGUGGAACUAGUGACGGAGGAUCAGGAUUAUCUGGACCAUGACGACAGGUUUGAGCGGUGUCCUCAGGUGAUGAGCAGAGAUGCUGUGACUGGUGUCUGUUACUGGGAGCUGGAGUGGAGAGGAAGAGUUUCUGUGGCAGUGACUCUCAGGAGAGACGGAGGGAAGGAAGACGAGUCUGAGUUUGGACAGAACCAUUAUUCCUGGAGUCUGAGCUGCUCUGAUGAUGCUGGAUAUAAAGUCUGUCACAAUAAGAGAGAAACUGUCAUCGAGAGCUCAGAAGUCUCUCACAGACUUGGAGUGUUGCUGAACUGUCCUGCUGGAUUUUUGGGAUUCUUCAGAGUCUCCUCUGGAGUCCAGACUCACCUCUGCGCCUUCCCCACCCCCACUGAACCUCUGUACCUGGGAUUUGGGCUCGGAGAGGUUCCUGGUUCUGGUUCCUCCGUGUGUGUGUGUGACCUGAAUGUGUGAGUGUGUUCCUCCAACAAACUGGUGUUGCUGGUUCAAAUCCCCAUCCAAACUGCAGACAGUGAGGAAUGAAAUCAAAUUUAAGAGGUGGUUGAAAACAUUUUCCCACCACUGUAAGUGAAUAGAAAAUCUGGAUUCCCCUCUGGAUCUUUGUCUUUUCCCACCAAGAUUCCCCACUGAAAGGAUUAGAAUGGUAGCAGUAAGGAAGCGUGCAGCUGAGCUCCUCUCAGUAGAUCAGCAACUGUAACUGUAUGAAUAACAGUCGAAGCUCAGCGUCAUGGAAAAUGACUGGCACUGUACCACAGAGGACUCUCCACAGGCCAUUUGAAUUCCUCCCAUUCCUCCCAGUACAAUAUCAUGUACUGUACUGUUUUAAAUUUGCUGUUUAUGUUUAUUGUUUGUCUGUGCUAGUUUAGCUUUCUCUUAUUUGAACAACUCUCACUGCGUCUUUUAUAUAUCGCUUUCUUUGGCUGUUCUUUUUUAGAUUUUUGUGAUUUUCACUCUCAGAAAAUGCAGCUCUUGCGGGAGUUCUCCUGAACGUUUCGUGUCUGUGGUGGAGGCUCACACGCUGAUUUUUUAUUUAAUUUACUUGUUAAAUCUGACAUCUCUGCGUUCACCUGCUCUUUUUGGCUCGAUUUCAAUGUGGAACUCGAUUUAAUAAUCGACAACACAUCUGUUUUACACCCUUCGUCAUUCCUUGCGACUGCCAUCCACAAAACCACCUCCCUGAAAUGAAUUGUGAAUACAGUCUGACAGUGAGUCUUCACCUUGUCCGAGCGUGGACAGGAGCUCGAGUGUGACAAUCAUGAAGAAGAAGGGAGACACGUGACUGUGUGAUGCAGCAGUUUGAGGAGGUGAAUGAAACACAUGAACGUUGUCGGACGCCGCAACGACAUCAGCAUCUUGAUCGUUUGCUGUUUAUUGUUUAUUGAUGCUGUUUGACGAAGACGAAAGAAAGUUUGUUUCCAGUCAUCCAUUUUUUGUUGAGAUAUUUUUUACUCCGCAAAGAAGAAUUGCAUCAGUGAAGACGCUGGCGACUGUCUUCAUUCCAUCGACGGCAGACUGACAGACCUGAGGCUCACAGCACAGUCAUGUGACUUUGCAAACCUGAAAGAUUCCAUGGAACGUGAUCAAAUUGUGUGUGGAGUUUACGACAGGAACAUUAGAGAGAGAGAGGCGUUCACGUGCAGCGGAGCCGACUCUAGAUGCAGCUCUGCAAAUCUGUCAUGUCAGUGAGGUGGAAGCAGAUGCCUGCAGAGACACGAGGAAUGAUGCUGCUGCUGCCACUGAUCUCCCCAAACACAGAAAGACUCUUGCACUGAGGGAUGACACUGGAAAAGAGGUCAAAUGCAGAAGUGUCAGUUUGGAGACAGACCUUCUGCUGAAGGCAGCCUGAGCAGGAACAGCUGAAGAUGCCACGAUGGGAAUGGUCUACUUCACAUGGAGGUUCAUUCCUGACCUCACAGCUGAGACCUCCUGCACAACAGACCUGUCACAUAAAGAGGAAGAUUUCAGGUGGAGAAGUGAACAUCAGCUCACAGAGGCAUGAACAACAGCAGUACUGACAAAGAACAUCAGUGUGUCGACAGACUCUUCAAGAGAUGGACUUGGUGCAGAGCUUCUGCAGAGUGAAGGUCAACACUGGAGACCUGGUGUUUGGUCUGGGGAGGUUCCAACACUGCGUUUAUGGCCGACCGACCUUCACUGUGGAGACAGACCAUGGAGCUCUUGUUGCCAUGAUGAAGACGCUGCAGAGACGUUUAUUCGCAGGCAGCACAAGUGCUACGGAGAUAGAAGUGAAAACUGCUGAGAGAAAUGCUUCCUGUGUCUGAUGCCUGAAGUGUUAUUCUGUAUGAGGAAGUAGCAAGGACGACACUCCAGUAGAGCUUUACUUGUUCACUUCACCUUCUCAUGUAUCAAUAACAUCCGACUUACGUCCACCCGUACUUAGGACCACGGCCAGCAGAUGCCAGCUUUUUUGUUUUAAUUCAAUGUCUGGCACUGGAGCAGUAACCAUUGGACGUGCCACAUGUCAGAGGCGGAGAAGCAGGCAGACAACAGAAGCGGCCAUGGCACCAGAGUUGGGACGGACUGGUUCCAUUUCAAAGGACGAGACCAUCUUGUAGUCAGGGAGUCACUUCUGUCCCACACAGCGUCAGGUGGUGCGAUGGUGCAUGCAGAGUCAUUCCAAACACAGGUGUCACCGACGAUGGACCGCGCUUCAGGAGCAAAGAGUGGCAGAGGUUUUCUGGGCAGUGUGACGUCACCUUCAUCACUGAAGUCCACUGUGUGCACAGUCCUAUGGAAAGGCUGAAGAAGGUGAGCACACUGGCAAAAGAGAGUGGAUCAGAUCCCUCCUUGCUCUGCUCACUUCCACAGCAGCUCCCUUCGAUUGUGGACGGUCACCCGAUGAGUCCCGGGCUGUGAACCACUCCGGCAGCUGUUGCCAAGCAGAGCAGGCGUCAAGCUGGUCCCCACCGUCCAGAGGAUUCCGCUCGCGUCGUGUUCAGAAGGCCAACGAGAGAAACAAGGAAAGCUCUCACGUUGAACAGAAACGUUUCUCUUCACGGCUGGAUGUUGAAAAUGUUGCGACAUUCAUGUGCUACUGUGAUAAAGAAAGAGGGGUGUGGCAGUGCUGGUCAGUGACCACUAGGCGUCAGUAUUUGUUUCGGUAUAAGGAUAUAGGUCUGUUAUGGGAGUGAAUAGAAGAAGUGUCACUACCGUGGCUCCACGUGGACAGAACACGUCUGGAGUUGCCGAAGCGGUUAUAUCCUUCUGUACAACUUGUCCACACGCCAGUGACUGUAACAUGCGUGACAUCAAGCAGGAACGUGAGACACGUCUUUUUGUGCGGCUUUCAUUUAUCCAACACACAUGUACAUAACACACGGAGGGGGCUGCCGGGUACGGCAACCCUGUAGGGACAACUCUCAUGCCGCACACAACAGAAGCCGUGGGAGCGGUGCGGUUUUUUCAAAGGGCAACUUUAUUGACCCGCCGUGAAGCUCCAAAACAAUCCACGUGGUGACUUUUUCCACCGGAUUACCUGCCGUAUUACAGUGCGCACGUUACAAACAACACACCGAUAGCGAUUGUGAUUAGUUAGUAUUGUUAUUUUAUUCCAAAGUCUCGUAACUAAACAUUUUGUGGAACAGAACCGACACCUAGUGGUGAUAUUUGCUAACUGCACGAUGUUAACAGAAACGUUCUAUUGUUUGUUUUUCUGUUGUGCAAUUCAACAUAUAUUCAGUAUAUAUAAUGUAAUAUAAGAAUGAUUGUAUCACCAAAAUUCACCAUCAUUUCAGCUCUAAUUUUUCUGUUAUUUACAACGAUCAAGAUUUCAGUUAUGAUUCUACUACAUUUUCAGUGUGAUCAAUUCCCAUUGUGUCACUUCAGAAUGACCCAGAUCAUGUGAUCCAUGUGAUAUGCGUUAGGAUAAUGAAAACAUUGUUUAGUCCCCAGUUUGAAGAGUUUCCCGCCAUGAAGACAGAAUCUGUGACGGGAUGUUUGGGGAUGCUGAGACUUGGAGCCAAACAGAGAGCAUUGAUCAAGAUGCAUAGGUCGAGGUGGAGGAGGCUGAGUGGCGGUGGCAGCCCUGAUGGCAAAUGUCUACUGACACAGAAGAAGCACAGGCCGAGCAGGAGCAACUAAUCCAAGAGAAUGGACAGAGAUGACAGUCAAUGGUUGCUAAAUUUAUUUUAAAAAAAUGUGACACAAACAGCUGCUGCAGGAAACACAGUUGAAUGCUCAGGAGAAGAAGAUCACUAGUGAGCCAGUAGCCAGACGGGAGGUGAACCUGAAUCGUCCCACAAAAUUGAAAAAAAAAAAAAACUCACGUCCCUCGUUUUGUCUCUUUUUGUGAUCGUAUUGCAUAAAAAAAUGUAUGUCUUUCUGACAACAAUUCAAAAUUACUAUGAAAAGAGAUUUGUUGACUUUCAUCUCCUAUUUUAAUAAAUGUAACUGUUUUGUCUGUACAUUAGUGCUUCAGUAGAACAGGACACUGCUUCAGUGCCUCGGGUCUUAAAUAAUAAGAGCCAAAGAAAGCGCCGUAUAAAAGAGUUAGUGGGAGAUAAGAGAAAAUUAAACCUAGCACAGACAAAAAAAAAAAAAAUGAAAUGGUACAAUAAAUGACAUUUUCCAGGUGGUAUUUUAUUUUCAGUCUGCAGUUACUAUGCAUGAUUUUAAACAACACCAAUGUAUUUAAAAAGAAUCUAUAAAACAUGAUGAUGCUUUAAUCUAUGUCUAUAUCAACGUCUUGUUGCAACCCAAAACACUGACCCGAUGGGAGGAAUUCAAAUGGCCUGUGGAGAGUCCUCUGUGGUACAGUGCCAGUCA